rnacentral:rRNA from 1 species
ACUUUAGAUAUGAUCCAGAGUACCACGGGACACGUGAAACCCUGUGGGAAGCAGGAGGGACCACCCUCCAAGGCUAAAUACUACCUAGUGACCGAUAGCGUAUAGUACCGUGAGGGAAAGGUGAAAAGAACCCCGGGAGGGGAGUGAAAUAGAACCUGAAACCCUGCACUUACAAGCUGUGGAAGCACAUUUCUUGUGUGACCGCGUACUUUUUGUAGAACGGGCCAACGAGUUACGUUAAGUAGCAAGGUUAAGCACUUAAGGUGUGGAGCCGUAGCGAAAGCGAGUUUUAACUGAGCGUUCAGUUACUUGACGUAGACCCGAAACCGGGCGACCUACCCAUGAGCAGGAUGAAGCGAAAGUAAAAUUUCGUGGAGGUCCGAACCCACGAGCGUUGAAAAGCUCGGGGAUGACUUGUGGGUAGCGGUGAAAUUCCAAUCGAGCCCGGAGAUAGCUGGUUCUCCCCGAAAUAGCUUUAGGGCUAGCCUCAAGGUGAGAGAUACGGAGGUAGAGCACUGAAUGUCCUAGGGGGUAUUGCACCUACCGAAGACUAUCAAACUCCGAAUGCCGUCAUCUUAUACUUGGGAGUCAGACUGUGGGUGAUAAGAUUCAUAGUCGAAAGGGCAACAGCCCAGAUCGUCAGCUAAGGUCCCUAAAUGUAAGUUAAGUGGUAAAGGAUGUGGGAUUGCACAGACAACCAGGAUGUUGGCUUAGAAGCAGCCACUCAUUCAAAGAGUGCGUAAUAGCUCACUGGUCGAGUGAUCCUGCGCCGAAGAUUUCCGGGGCUAAAACUUACUACCGAAGCUACGGCAUCAUUAUGAUGGGUAGGGGAGCUUCCCAUACGGGUUGAAGCAUGACCGUAAGGACAUGUGGACAGUAUGGGAGUGAGAAUGUUGGCAUGAGUAGCGAGAUGUGGGUGAGAAUCCCACAGGCCGUAAACCCAAGGUUUCCAGGGGAAGGUUCGUCCGCCCUGGGUUAGUCGGGACCUAAGCUGAGGCCGAAAGGCGUAGGUGAUGGACAACAGGUUGAUAUUCCUGUACUACCGAUAACCGUUUGAGAGAUGGGAUGACACAGUAGGAUAAGCUAAGCACACUGUUGGUUAUGUGUGCCCAAGCAUUGAGGCAGUCAGAGUAGGUAAAUCCGCUUUGAUAAUGCUGGGAUGUGAUGGGGAGCGAAAUUUAGUAGCGAAGUAGCUGAUUUCACACUGUCAAGAAAAGUCUCUAUCGAGGUUAAAGGUACCCGUACCGCAAACCGACACAGGUGGGUGAGGAGAGUAUCCUAAGGCCCGCGAGAGAACUGUUGUUAAGGAACUCGGCAAAAUGACCCCGUAACUUAGGGAUAAGGGGUGCCACCAUC